UACGUAGGGGGCGAGCGUUAUCCGGACCCACUGGGUGUAAAGGGAGCGUAGACGGCCAUGCAAGCCAGGGGUGAAAGCCCGGGGCCCAACCCCGGGACUGCCCUUGGAACUGCAUGGCUGGAGUGCGGGAGGGGCAGGCGGAAUUCCUGGUGUAGCGGUGAAAUGCGUAGAUAUCAGGAGGAACACCGGCGGCGAAGGCGGCCUGCUGGACCGCGACUGACGUUGAGGCUCGAAAGCGUGGGGAGCGAACAGG
rnacentral:rRNA from 1 species